rnacentral:rRNA from 1 species
CCUACGGGGUGCUGCAGUUGAGAAUCAUUCACAAUGGGGGAAACCCUGAUGGUGCGACGCCGCGUGGGGGAAUGAAGUUCUUCGGAUUGUAAACCCCUGUCAUGUGGGAGCAAAUUAAAAAGAUCGUACCACACGAGGAAGAGACGGCUAACUCUGUGCCAGCAGCCGCGGUAAUACAGAGGUCUCAAGCGUUGUUCGGAAUCACUGGGCGUAAAGCGUGCGUAGGCUGUUUCGUAAGUCGUGUGUGAAAGGCGCGGGCUCAACCCGCGGACGGCACAUGAUACUGCGAGACUAGAGUAAUGGAGGGGGAACCGGAAUUCUCGGUGUAGCAGUGAAAUGCGUAGAUAUCGAGAGGAACACUCGGGGCGAAGGCGGGUUCCUGGACAGUAACUGACGCUGAGGCACGAAGGCCAGGGGAGCGAAAGGGAUUAGAUACCCGGGUAGUC